rnacentral:rRNA from 1 species
UACAGAGGUCUCAAGCGUUGUUCGGAUUCAUUGGGCGUAAAGGGUGCGCAGGCGGUGUGGUAAGUCGGGUGUGAAAUUUAGAAGCUUAACUUCUAAACUGCACCUGAUACUGCCAUGCUAGAGGACUGUAGAGGAGAUUGGAAUUCACGGUGUAGCAGUGAAAUGCGUAGAUAUCGUGAGGAAGACCAGUGGCGAAGGCGAAUCUCUGGGCAGUUCCUGACGCUCAUGCACGAAGGCUAGGGGAGCAAACGGG